rnacentral:rRNA from 1 species
UACAGAGGUCUCGAGCGUUAGGCGGAAUCACUGGGCUUAAAGCGCGUGUAGGCGGAUCGUUAAGUACCUUGUGAAAUCCCACGGCUUAACCGUGGAACGGCUGGGUAUACUGGCGGUCUUGAGCCACCUAGGGGCCUGCGGAACAAGCGGUGGAGCGGUGAAAUGCGUAGAUAUUGGGAGGAACACCAGUGGCGAAGGCGGUCCCCUGGGCCGGAACUGACGCUGAGGCGCGAAAGCGUGGGUAGCAAACGGG